GCUCGCCGGUGUAAAAUAAACCUCCUGCCUUCCAAGAUCUCCGAGUGCCCCUUGGUUCUUCCGCCGGGUGAUCCAGGGCAGAUUCUGCAACAUCUGGUUCCCUGACUGGGAAACCCAACCGCGCUGGCCCGUUGUUGCCACCGGUUUGGAAAAGCGGCGAGGCAGUGUCGGAAUGAAGAAACACGAAGGAGAAAGUGCGCCCUGCCUGAAUUUCGACAGUCUCCAGCUCGGUGGCCUCGGGCCGGCCUGCUCCGCCGUUCCUGACGGACUUGAGGAGACUUGGCAAGUGAGGACCUGGAACUGACGUCGGAAACUGGACAUCCCAGAAGCUGCUUGUGGAGAUGGUCAGGAGGAGAACGAGAGAUGCCUGGGGUUUGGGGAGAGGUAGAAACCUCUCAGCUAAGUCUUCAUCUCCAGAGGCCUCUGGCAAUCAACUCGGUUCCUCUUCAGGGUCAUGAGGCAGAAGAUGUUCAUCAACCUGGCCAACAUUUGACUGUUAUUCGGCGGUGGACAGAGGCAGGAGACCGUGAACAUUCUCCAAACCGAAAUCCAGACAACCUCCAAGCCCACUGUGACCGGAAGUUCGCCCCAUUCCCCAGAUCCCCAUCCGGCUCCUUUAAGUCCAGCUUUCUUGAGCAUCCAAGGUUAAGCCAAGCGUCACCUUUGGAAUUGCUUAAAAUGAAAAUACUUCUGGAAGGGGUCAAGAGUUUGGUCUUAUCAGUCAUUUACAUCUUAGUGGAAAAGAGUGUAUUGGCUCUUCCCUCGGAGAGGAGGUUUGGUGGAGGGGGAGGCAGAUGGGCAGGAGAGCGCAGCGGCUGAAUGGCGGCUUGCAGCCAGUCUGGGCUCAGCUCACCACUCUGCAAGUCUCUUUCCCUCUCAGUCUGUUUCCUCCUGUGCAGCUUGGGCCCACUGAUUCUGGCCUCAUUAGGCUGAUGUAGAGAUCUGUGGUGCAUGCCAGCAGUACUGUCCUAAGACAGUCAACUGAGCUUGGCAAAUGGCAGCAAGGCCGCCAUUCCAUGGGGAAAUUCCCUCUACAAAGGGAUGCUGGAGGCCGAAGAUACACUAGGGCAGUGUUCGGCUUCUUAUUCCCAGACUCCUCCACCUUUCCUCUGGUUCCCGCCAGAGAUUUCCCUGCCUCCCUUGCAGUGGGCAAGUGGGGAUAUGCCCCUUCCAGACCUGGCCUUCCUGCAGCCCUCCAGCCUCUGCCUGGAGAUGCCCCAGGGGAUGGCGGACCCACGAGGGGCGGUGCCUGGGUUCCUGGGCGACUUCUGGAGCAGAGUGUCACCUCUUACCUACAUAAGGAGAAUGAGUCUUUAUCACAGUAAGCCCCUCCUGGGGGUUCCUGGUUACAGCAUUAACUUGCCCUGAUUGAUAAAACUCCUCUCUU